GUGGAUUAGAUACCCUGGUAGUCCACACGGUAAACGAUGAAUACUCGCUGUUGGCGAUAUAGUGUCAGCGGCCAAGCGAAAGCAUUAAGUAUUCCACCUGGGGAGUACGCCGGCAACGGUGAAACUCAAAGGAAUUGACGGGGGCCCGCACAAGCGGAGGAACAUGUGGUUUAAUUCGAUGAUACGCGAGGAACCUUACCCGGGCUUAAAUUGCAGAGGACAGGCCGAGAGAUCGGCUCUUCUUCGGACCUCUGUGAAGGUGCUGCAUGGCCGUCGUCAACU
rnacentral:rRNA from 1 species